CCAAAAGUAGGUUUAAGAAGCUUGGCCUGAACUUUGGCAGCAAGGAUAGAAACCUGAGAAAACAGUCAUUUAAAGAUACGAAUUCAGAGAUUUCACCUCGUCAACCAUUCUCUAAUUUCUUUGAUGGCAAAUCAUCUUUGUUUUCUAAGAAGCCUCCUAAGCCUGAGAGUGCAUCCGCGAGUGACACAAGUCCUAGUAGUCCAGAUGAAAAUGAGUGGACAAUUGUUAACCCGUAAUACAUUUUGACCUCCCU
rnacentral:misc_RNA from 1 species